UACGAAAGGUGCAAGCGUUACUCGGAAUCACUGGGCGUAAAGCGCACGUAGGCGGACUCGUAGGUCAGUUGUGAAAUACCUGGGCUCAACCCGGGAACUGCAGCUGAAACCGCUUGUCUUGAAUACCUGAGAGGGUGGGGGAAUACCUGGUGGAGAAGUGAAAUUCGUAGAGAUCAGGUGGAACACCGGAGGCGAAGGCGCCUGCCUGGCAGUGUAUUGACGCUGAGGUGCGAAAGUGCGGGGAGCGAACAGG
rnacentral:rRNA from 1 species